AAAAAAGCCCCAGACAAUGCCUGGGGCAUCAAAGAGGUCAACACCCCGACACCGACCUCCCGGGCCUGCCUACCUGCCUUGCUGCUCUCAGAGGCACAGUUUGGGGAGGGAGGCGGGUGUAGCCCCAUCUUCGCACCAGUAGCUGAUCUGAUCUUAAGAGGCUUCCAUUGCCCACCCUGGAGACCUCACAGCCCACAGCUCAGUCCUUAAAGACGACUCAGUGGCUGAGGCCUCAUAAAGAUGAACCAGGUGAUGCAGUGAGGGGGGAUUUUAUGAGAAAACCCAUGGAAAAUGGGCUUGAGCCUUUUGAAAGAUUCUUUCUGCCUUGUUCAUUAAAUGCUAUGCUAACCCGUCCAAUAUCCUCUUAAAUCCUUUGUAUGGCAGUUCUAAACGUGCUUUCUCCUGUUGGUUGUUUGUGACCGCAAACGUCCUGUCCAGGGGGGAGACUCGGGAGCCCUCCCAUCACCGUGGUCCCGUAGAGCCCUAGGAGGACAUUCUGUUCGUGUUCGCACCACAGCCCCUCACAUCAAGGGCCCCAGGAAGGAGCCUUGAGUCCCCUAGGUCUCAGUACAGAGGGCACACACAGAGGAUGCACCCUGCUGACGGGGCCCCUGCCCUUGCUCACCAGGUUCUGGCCCCUGAGGUCUGCUCCAGGCCCUCAAAUACGCCAGUCUCUCUCUCCUGCCUUAAGGCCUUUGCUCGUGCUGGCCCCACGGUCUGUGGCCCAGCCCCUGACCUCUGACCUGUUGGUUCUUCCAUUCUUCGGAGAGCAGCUGAAGCUCCACACUGCAGAGGGCCCCGGAUCUGCUUUAAUCAGCUGACUUGUUUUCUAGACCAGGUCUCUGCUGGGAAGUGAUGCUUGUGCUAAUUCCUGCAGAAUUAACUCCUGACCACAUAACCCUCCCCAGUGGCCUAAUGUGUAGCUGGCGUUUCCCAAACAUGGACGGAUUCCCCUUGGCUGUGGAGUCCAGUAAGUGAUUUCUGUGACUGGAAGAAAAUGAGGACUCAAAAUAGGUGCGAGGUGGCCCCUGUCGCUGUUAAAGAGCCUGUUGGUGACGCCCAGGUGAUAACGGGUAAGAAAGCUUCCAACACCUGCCAGUCAUUAUGACUGGGUCCUUUCAAGGCCUCCAACUGUUAGGUGCUCCAAAGAAGAGCUUUCCUUGGGAAAGAAUGUUCUUAUUUUUGAGGCAGUUUUAAGUGUAACUGGAUUAACCCAAAGACCUCUACUUGCUUAUUAUAGGGAAAUGUAUCCAGAGGAAAGGAACACAUUCCCAUUUCUCCAGAGAGCUCUUCAAGAAAGGUAAUCCUGCUUUACCCCAAACUUUCUGCUAAAUUCCAAGGCAGAGGUGUUUUAAUUAAGUGUGUGAUAAAUACCUAUGGUGGCCAGGACAGUAAGUAGGUCAUGUUCCUCACCUAGCUGCAGAGCCUUUUUUAAGAGCUGCAGGGCAUGGUUUUGUAGAGUUCUGAUUGCUUUUUGUGAAAUUGCUGUAGGCUUUCAUUCACAUAGUGAUUUGUAUGCAAAUCCUUGCGGGAGGCUGAAAUGCUGUUUGUUUGCUUUUUUAUUGUUUUUUUUUGUUUGUUUUUGUACACUUUCUUGUUCUAGAAAAGGUUUAUGAUAAUUUAUACAAGAUUAUAAAAGAUAAAAUAAAAACAAAUAAGCGAAGAAAUUGGACCACAGAGGGUGGAAAGCCAAGAUAAAUCUAGGAGUAAGAUUUAUAGGCAGGUAUAAAUAAACUAUAAAUUUAAUUCUGAUCUUAGUAGCAGUUUCACAGAGAGGGAAAUACAAGCGGGUAUAUGUUUGUGUUAAUCAUGCCUUUUUUAACAUCUGUAUUGGAGUAUAAUUGCUUUACGAUGUAAUCAUACCUUUUUAUUCAGAUGCUUUGACAUCUUGGGGUCUUCAUGACCUUGUGAAGACACCCCCCCACACACACAAGGGCUGGCUAAUUCCUGGAGUUAGUAAACAACUGGCCUUCAAGCACCUUCCGAAUGCAAAGCAACCAAUGCUACACCCCAACUACCUCCUCUGGGCCACAUCCCCCUACCCUAAUCACCCAGGGCCAGGUAGCAGACACCUAGGGACAGCGCCUAUGCCCCAAAGCCCACUGAGAUUAUUCACACUCAAUUACUCAAAAUCAAAUUAGCCAAUAUUACACCUGCUUCCCCUGCCUCUUCUUGCCUUGCUUGCAGAAACCACAAUAAAGGCUCCUGGCUGAAUUUUCCCCACUCCCUCUGUUUUCUGGCUGACCUUGG